rnacentral:rRNA from 1 species
UACAGAGGGUGCGAGCGUUGUUCGGAAUUACUGGGCGUAAAGGGCUCGUAGGUGGCCAACUAAGUCGGACGUGAAAUCCCUCAGCUUAACUGGGGAACUGCGUCCGAUACUGGAUGGCUCGAGUUUGGGAGAGGGAUGCGGAAUUCCAGGUGUAGCGGUGAAAUGCGUAGAUAUCUGGAGGAACACCGGUGGCGAAGGCGGCAUCCUGGACCAACACUGACACUGAGGAGCGAAAGCCAGGGGAGCAAACGGG